rnacentral:rRNA from 1 species
GACGAACCGUGCGAACGUUGUUCGGAAUCACUGGGCUUAAAGGGCGCGUAGGCGGGCUGCCAAGUCUGGGGUGAAAUCCCACGGCUCAACCGUGGAACUGCCUCGGAUACUGGCGGUCUCGAGGGAGGUAGGGGCAUGCGGAACUGUGGGUGGAGCGGUGAAAUGCGUUGAUGUCCACAGGAACUCCGGUGGCGAAAGCGGCGUGCUGGACCUCUUCUGACGCUGAGGCGCGAAAGCUAGGGGAGCAAACGGG